rnacentral:rRNA from 1 species
UAAGGAAUAUUGGACAAUGCCCGCAAGGGUGAUCCAGCCAUGCCGCGUGCAGGAAGAAGCAUCUAUGGUGUGUAAACUGCUUUUGUACGGGAAGAAACACUCCUACGUGUAGGAGCUUGACGGUACUGUAAGAAUAAGGAUCGGCUAACUCCGUGCCAGCAGCCGCGGUAAUACGGAGGAUCCAAGCGUUAUCCGGAAUCAUUGGGUUUAAAGGGUCCGUAGGCGGUUUAGUAAGUCAGUGGUGAAAGCCCAUCGCUCAACGAUGGAACGGCCAUUGAUACUGCUAGACUUGAAUUACUAGGAAGUAACUAGAAUAUGUAGUGUAGCGGUGAAAUGCUUAGAUAUUACAUGGAAUACCAAUUGCGAAGGCAGGUUACUACUAGUGGAUCGACGCUGAUGGACGAAAGCGUGUGGAGCGAACA